AGGACGAACGCUGGCGGCGUGCUUAACACAUGCAAGUCGAACGGGAGUAUUGAAGAAGCUUGCUUUAGAGAUACUUUAGUGGCGGACGGGUGAGUAACGCGUGAGGAGCUGUCCUAUGCAGGGGGACAACAGCUGGAAACGGCUGCUAAUACCCCAUAAGCCGAGAGGUAAAAGGAUCAAUCCGGCAGAGGAGGUACUCGCGUCCUAUCAGCUAGUAGGUGAGGUAACGGCUCACCUAGGCGAAGACGGGUAGCCGGCCUGAGAGGGCGAACGGCCACACUGGAACUGAGAUACGGUCCAGACUCCUACGGGAGGCAGCAGUGGGGAAUAUUGGGCAAUGGGGGGAAAAACCCCCUGACCCAGCGACGCCGCGUGGGUGAAGAAAUCCUUCGGGAUGUAAAGCCCUGUUGUAUGGGAAGAGCGGAAGACGGUACCAUACGAGGAAGCCCCGGCAAACUACGUGCCAGCCGCCGC
rnacentral:rRNA from 1 species